GCUACGGGAGGCUGCAGUAGGGAAUGUUCGUCAAUGGGCGCAAGCCUGAACGAGCGAAGCCGCGUGAGUGAAGAAGGCCUUCGGGUCGGAAAGCUCCGUUUCGGGGGAAAAAAGGCAGCAUCAGGAAAUGGGUGCUGACUGACGGUGCACCGCCAGAAAGGCACGGCUAACUCCGUGCCAGCAGCUGCGGUAAUACAGAGGACUCAAGCGUUGUUCGGAAUGACUGGGCGGAAAGCGUGCGUAGGCUGUCUCGUAAGUCGUGUGUGAAGGGGGCGGGCUCAACCCGCGGACGGCAGGUGAUACUGGGAGACUAGAGUAAAGGAGAGGUAAGCGGAAUUCGCGGUGUAGCGGUGAAAUGCGUAGAUAUCGAGAAGAACACUCGUGGCGAAGGCAGGUUCCUGGACAUUAACUGACGCUGAGGCACGAAGGCCAGGGGAGCGAAAAGGAUUAGAUACCCCUGUAGUC
rnacentral:rRNA from 1 species